rnacentral:rRNA from 1 species
GAUGAACGCUGGCGGCGUGCCUAAUACAUGCAAGUCGAGCGAACAGACGAGGAGCUUGCUCCUCUGACGUUAGCGGCGGACGGGUGAGUAACACGUGGAUAACCUACCUAUAAGACUGGGAUAACUUCGGGAAACCGGAGCUAAUACCGGAUAAUAUAUUGAACCGCAUGGUUCAAUAGUGAAAGACGGUUUUGCUGUCACUUAUAGAUGGAUCCGCGCCGCAUUAGCUAGUUGGUAAGGUAACGGCUUACCAAGGCGACGAUGCGUAGCCGACCUGAGAGGGGGAACGGCCACACUGGAACUGAGACACGGUCCAGACUCCUACGGGAGGCAGCAGUAGGGAAUCUUCCGCAAUGGGCGAAAGCCUGACGGAGCAACGCCGCGUGAGUGAUGAAGGUCUUCGGAUCGUAAAACUCUGUUAUUAGGGAAGAACAAAUGUGUAAGUAACUAUGCACGUCUUGACGGUACCUAAUCAGAAAGCCACGGCUAACUACGUG